UGGUGCCUGCAGGCAGUCCUCCGUUGCCCUGGAAACACAGAUGAUGGAUGAAAAGGAGGGGGCGCAUACAAAAGACCAUAAAACCUGUGGUGGCAGCUGGAGACCGAGACCACAGAUUAAUACAGGACACUGUAGCCCCUCGAAUUCAAAGAAGCCACUGUUCUCACGACUGCCUUCGGUUCAUUAUCUCCGUCUCGGGUUUCCCUCUCCACUUCACCUUGCCUUCUCUGGACUCUUCUUGUCAGUGCGCAGCUGCUGUUGGCACUCCCACAUCUGCUUUUCUCAGCUCGGCGGCCAUGAAGAGGAAGCUCAGCCGCGGCUCAUUUUUCGAUGAGGUGUAUCCGAGGAGAGGGCAGCGUUAUGUUGAGCAGGCAGAGUCGCUGCACUGAAGUAAACGGGUCUUGAGCUGCUCGGCAUCAGCAUGAACGAAGAAGAAGAUGGAGGAAACAAAAGGAUAAAGGAGUGAGGAUCUCUUCGAAUCGUACGUGAAACUGCGGGACGAGUGGAACACGAGGAUCUGAGUGUGCCUGAACUGGAUUCAUCUCAUGGCACCAAUCAGGACACUGGAGGAUCCCAAGAUCUGGACAGGUUAUGUGUUAUUGUUUAAAUUACCAGAGAGCUCAGCGUGUAUUUGAUCAGUCAUUAAUAUUCAACCAGGCAGUUACACUUUUAUAAAAUCGUCGCUUGCUUUAGCAGUUCUGCCUGAUUCCAAGCUCGAAAGAGAAACUAUAAAAUGCAAUAAGAGCCUGAUCCCUUUGGUGCAUCGUAGUAGGACGGCUUGGGUGUGUCCCACUUUUCUGCUGCUUUGUGUUCUGUGUUCUUCUCUAGUUACUCUGGGGGGAUAAAAGCAGACCGGGCCUGAUAGGACCUUGUUGUUGCCCUGCUGGCGUCUCCCUCUGCUGUGCUGCCGUACAGAUCGAUACUGGAGCCGUCAGGUUUACAGAGCAUGGGGCCAUCUCUGCUGCUCUGCACCUUCAAGAGAGAAAAUAUCUGCUUCAAUAUUUCCUCGCCGAGAGUCGACUUCUGCAGCUUCUGUGCAUCAGAGGACAAAAGACGAUAAUGGAUUCGCUUUGUCUGCCUAAUCAGAUCUAGUGUGAUCUAUCAUGGAUCAUGCAUCAUUUACUGCACUGUCUCCGUUUAUUCACCCACUGAGCGCUUGCUUUUCUCAGAAGACAUCUUUGAGUAACUUUUCCUUGCAAUUUGGCCCCUUUACUCUGCGAGACAAGCUUCAUAAAAAAAGGUGUUUGGAAGUAUUUUCUUGGGAGUCUUUUCCAUGAAAGCUGGCACGUAAUGAGACCUGCGUAUUUCAGGCCUGCACGGACGAAGAUAUUAUGCGCUAGUGCGAGAGAACGACGCGUUUUCUCACCUUCUAAUAACGUGUAAUUCACACAUUUGUUGUUUGUUGUGAAAGUUUGACGUGAUACCAACUAUUUUUACUACGCUUUUUCACAACACGCUGUGGGAUUGUGGGUGGGUGUCUGUACGAGUGCAUGUGCUUUUUUUGUUGUUGCAUGUGCUCUAUUCGUGGAUGUGUUUAUGCGUAUGUGUGUGUGCAUGUGUGUCACAUUGGCCUAACAAGAUGGAGCUAUAAUGGGCCUGGAGCUACAAGUCUUUUAGUGACAGGAUGUAUCAGAUAAGAGAUAAAACAUUAUUUACUAAUGAUUCUUAGCAUUUGUUAAAGCCUCUUUAAAGCAGUAGUUGCACUUUAAAUCACAUGGAUAUAAUUUGGAAUUAGUGGAGUGCCGUUUACUGAAUGGUGCCCGCUGGCUUAAACUGAGCCGUUCUGUUGCCAGCACCAUCAUUUACCACUUAAGCAAAUUACAGCAAAUGCUAAUAAUUAUGUGUAAAUAGCCUUUUAUCCAGGUCUGGACUGCACUAACAGUACCUAACUAAUAUCUAACAGUACUAAUGUCUGCUAACGGUUGGCGGAGUACUAACCUGCGCUGAGAAUGCCGAUGACUCGUGUUUCUAACACACUUACUAACCCGCUGCUUUAUGCCACCAGUCUGAGACACGCACUGCUCUCACGUGAUCCUGCAAUCCUUCGUUCAGAACUGUCCCAUUCAGACUAAUCCUUCAAGUAAUUCUCCACCCAAAAAUGUUGACGGGAGCGUGUGAAGAAGGGUUUCAGGACCUGGAGGAGAUAAACUAAUCACUGUGGAAUAAAAGGAGGAGCUGAGGUCAAUCUUGGUUGACCACACACGUCAGCAGAAUCUU